GAACUGCAAACAGUCCAUUUUAUCUAUUUCCCAUGCUAGGUGUCUUCAAGACGUGUAUUCCAACCGUCUGUCUGGCCACUCAUGCAGCAGGCUAUGUUAGAAUUCAAGCCAUUUACUUGUGUUUGAAAUUGAGAUCAACUGUUCACUGAUGUUGCUGUGUGAAGGCAUUGAACAGUUCCACUGGAAAGCUGUGUCAUGAACUGCAAGAGCUCCUGAAAUAUCCAGUGGGUUUUUAAUCAUCAGAGCCCAGUAAUAAUGUUAUGAGAAGAAGAUCAGAAAAGAAUACAGCAAGUGGCCACCACCAUCAUGAGGAUCCCAAAAAUUCAAACUGGUAAAGUGAGAAAAGACAGAAUGCAGCCUCAAGGUUGGUAUUUUUCAGGACAUCUUGAGAUAUGUAUGCUAAUAUAUAAUAGUAUGAAAGUUGCA
rnacentral:lncRNA from 1 species